rnacentral:lncRNA from 1 species
ACGCCAACAAAAGUAGCCUUCGCUACCCAUAGCUGAUGAUCGGCUUCUAAAGGGUACUGACAUCCUUAGUCAUUCCCACAGAUGAUGCCAAUGUUGGUUCUAAGCUAGCUGAAGUCAGAUUCGUCCAACUUAAUGGAAGUUUGACAACUUUCCUCCAUUUUUUGUGCUUCUUAGAGAAUCCACCUAGCAAUAAUGAGAUUUGG